rnacentral:rRNA from 1 species
CCUACGGGAGGCAGCAGUGAGGAAUAUUGGUCAAUGGACGAGAGUCUGAACCAGCCAAGUAGCGUGAAGGAUGACUGCCCUAUGGGUUGUAAACUUCUUUUAUAUGGGAAUAAAAUGUUCCACGUGUGGGUUUUUGUAUGUACCAUAUGAAUAAGGAUCGGCUAACUCCGUGCCAGCAGCCGCGGUAAUACGGAGGAUCCGAGCGUUAUCCGGAUUUAUUGGGUUUAAAGGGAGCGUAGGUGGAUUGUUAAGUCAGUGGUGAAAGUUUGCGGCUCAACCGUAAAAUUGCAGUUGAAACUGGCAGUCUUGAGUACAGUAGAGGUGGGCGGAAUGCGUGGUGUAGCGGUGAAAUGCUUAGAUAUCACGAAGAACUCCGAUUGCGAAGGCAGCUCACUGGACUGUAACUGACACUGAGGCUCGAAAGUGUGGGUAUCAAACAGGAUUAGAUACCCCUGUAGUC